CACACAGCAGCCACUCCUGUGUCACUCACAGGUACCAUCACCACACACAGCAGCCACUCCUGUGUCACUCACAGGUACCAUCACCACACACAGCAGCCACUCCUGUGUCACUCACAGGUACCAUCACCACACACAGCAGCCACUCCUGUGUCACUCACAGGUACCAUCACCACACACAGCAGCCACUCCUGUGUCACUCACAGGUACCAUCACCACACACAGCAGCCACUCCUGUGUCACUCACAGGUACCAUCACCACACACAGCAGCC